rnacentral:tRNA from 1 species
GAGGGUGUAGCUCAGUGGUAGAAUGUAUGCCUAGCAGGCAGGAGGCCCUGGGUUCAAUCCCCAGCACAUCUA